AGUUUGGAGGCUUGCGGUCUAAUGUGACACUGCGCCUGAGUCGAGACUUUCUCUUUGACUUCUGCUUUCUCUUUCCUGUCAUGAGAAAACCACAUUCGAAGCGCGAUAUCACAAAACGCACCUGGAUCUAAUGAGGCUCGACAGCAUAAAGACCAACGCAGCCGACGAUCCAGUGCUGGAACGUAGUUCUCUGUCCGACAUUUAUCCUCUGUCGCCUUGGAAGUGAGCUGUGCGCCUCACUUCCCUGGAUCCUCCUCUGGACUCUGACUCCCUCGCUCGAUCCUCGACCCCCCGCUUUAGACACGGACCUCAGGAGGGCCUCACGGUCCUCCCGCUUGGAUCACGGACCUUAUUCUGCCCAACCCCUUUGGACUUGUUUGCCUUUUCAAUCAACACGCACUUACAA